AUUCACUAAAUGAAGUUUGUGUAGAAUUAGGAAAAGGUUUUUUUUCAAAAUCUAAAAGAACAGAUGGCUCAUAAGUGCACUAAUAUGUCUAGAUUGACCUGCUAUAAAAACUUUACGAAUAUAAGAGGUAACAUAAUUUCGAGCUCCUUGAGACGAGUUUGCCUAUAAAGGAAUCAUCCUUGCUCGAAAUAAAAAUAAGUUUGGGAGCACACAGUUAUAAAAUGAAAGAAAUUUUUUAACGCCGCCUCCUAAAGACACCUUUUUUAAAUUAAAAGAAGUUAAAAGUGAAGCCAAUAUACGUAAGGCUGAAUUAUUAUUGGAGGAAGAUGAACAGCUACGCAAAGCUCGAGUUGAGAUCAUCUUGCAAGAAAGCCUUCCAGCAAAAGUCUCUUUUAGCACUUUUGAUUGGUAAAAAAUUCUGAAGGUGCCCCGAAUUCUACUAGUAAAGUAGCUGUGGAGAAUUUCCAAACAAAACAUAAUCCUACUCAAGACUAAGUCCUAAGCAAUUUUUAUGCACGGAUUUUCCUUCAAUGAUUCGAACAUUGAAAAAGAGACUUAGACGAAGAGUUGGAUGGUAUUUGUGUUCCCGACGACGAUUUGCUCGACGACCUGAACGCUUUUUGAUUUUGAAUUGGGCUUAAACUAGUUUUUAGUUGUAUAAUAAACUUUUAUAAUUUAUUUAUAUAAUAAAGUAAAUCAUUAGAA